rnacentral:rRNA from 1 species
UUAGGAAACAGGUGCUAAUACCGCAUAACAGUUUAUGCCGCAGUGGCAUAAGAGUGAAAGGCGCUUUCGGGUGUCGCUGAUGGAUGGACCCGCGGUGCAUUAGCUAGUUGGUGAGGUAACGGCUCACCAAGGCCACGAUGCAUAGCCGACCUGAGAGGGUGAUCGGCCACACUGGGACUGAGACACGGCCCAG